rnacentral:rRNA from 1 species
UGCAGAAUCCCGUGAACCAUCGAGUCUUUGAACGCAAGUUGCGCCCGAGGGACCCUCCCGAGGGCACGCCUGCCUCAUGGGCGUUAGAAGCCCAUCCACGCUCGGUUGCCUCACGGCAAAGAUGCGGACAUUGGCCCUCCGAACCGGGAGGCGCGGUGGGCCUAAGUGUGCGGCCGUCGUACGUGGCCGGGAGCGGCGAGUGGUGGGCUACUCUGCGCACGUCACCCCGAGCUCCGUACCGACGCAGGGCCUUGUUUGAUCCCCUAACGAGGAGCAUGCCGUCGCGGCCUGCGCCGCGCGGCGCCUUCGGACCGAUACCCCAGGUCAGGCGGGGCUACCCGCCGAGUUUAAGCAUAUAAAUAAGCGGAGGAGAAGAAACUUACAAGGAUUCCCCUAGUAACGGCGAGCGAACCGGGAGCAGCCCAGCCUUAGAAUCGCGGCGGCACUGCCGCCCGA